rnacentral:rRNA from 1 species
UACGUAGGGUGCAAGCGUUAAUCGGAAUUACUGGGCGUAAAGCGCGCGUAGGUGGUUUGUUAAGUCAGCUGUGAAAGCCCCGGGCUCAACCUGGGAAUUGCAUUUGAUACUGGCUAACUAGAGUGAGGUAGAGGAGAGUGGAAUUCCCGGUGUAGCAGUGAAAUGCGUAGAGAUCGGGAGGAACAUCAGUUGCGAAGGCGGCUCUCUGGACCAUCACUGACACUGAGGCACGAAAGCGUGGGGAGCAAACAGG